UACGUAGGGGGCAAGCGUUUGUCCGGAUUUAUUGGGCGUAAAGAGCGUGUAGGCGGUCAGGUAGGUCCGUUGUGAAAACUCGAGGCUCAACCUCGAGACGCCGAUGGAAACCAUCUGACUAGAGUCCCGGAAGAGGAGAGUGGAAUUCCGUGGUGUAGCGGUGAAAUGCGCAGAUAAUCAGGAAGAACACCGUGGCUAAGGCGGCUCUCUAGUACGGUACUGACGCUGAGACGCGAAAGCGUGGGGAG
rnacentral:rRNA from 1 species